CUCAUUUAAGAGAUUUUCCUCUUGGAUGUCUUCUGAGUUAUCACUAGUAGCAGCAUUCAGAGAAAUUCAGAGCUCAACUUUACACAGAAAUAUUUCUAACUAUAUAAAACCAAAAAAAAGGAGGGGGACAAUGAGGGAAUUCUUUAUUCUAGAUUUAUAUUAGGUAUUUUUAAAAAAAAAUAAACACAAAUUAUGAGUUCUGAGGAAUUUGACUUUCUAUUCUGCCUUUAUAUCUUUUAUCCUUGAAACCUAAUUGAUCAAGCUUUAUUUAUGAACCUGUUGCACUAAAAUGUGUAUAGGGAAAUACAUAUUGAAGUAGACCUACCUCUUCUUUAUAGGUACCCUCCUGAGAUUGAUAAAUAUACCCCUUCCCCGUAAUGAAAUGCUAAUUUUUAUUUGAUCACUCAUUUAUAGCAGUUGCUUAAAUGUAUAUAUUUAUAUGAAGGUGUUUUAAUUAUUUAAAAGCCAAAAAGUUCUAAUAAGUUGCCAGAUUUCUAAUAAAUCCAAGUUUUACUUGGUCAAAAGGUAAAGAAAAUGAGUUAUGGUUCUGAAGUUAGUUUUUUUAAACAAGAGUUCAGUAUAAAUGUUUUUCAGUUUUCUUAGUUACUGGGGUUAUUCUGCAAAAGAAAGCCCAAUGCUUUCUGUUAGCAGUAGGUAAUUUUUCUCUCUUUUGACUUUGAAUGCUAAAUUUAGGAGGUGAAUCUUUUAUAAAGGUCAGCAUGCAUCAAAAAAUUACAUAUUUAAAGUUACAACAGAGAAGGGACAUAAAAUUCCACUUUUAGCAGAAAGCUAUAUAAUAUUUUUGAAACUCAAUACAUCAUUUGCCUCCUGCCCAUUUGAAUAUAAUCAUACCUAUGUUUUAUUGUGUAUUAUUUGUAAAAACCAAACCCUUCCAGUAAAUACUUGCUAUAAGGCUAUUACUUUUAUUUAUAAAGACUUAUAAAUAAGUUAAAAUUUGCCAUUUUGAUUUUCCAAAGAAUUAUUUUCUACUGAGUUACUUUCUAGUAUUAAAGAAAACCAACUGUAAAGUUCUUACUGUCCUUUAUCAUGUGGAGUCUCUUAAGUGAGCAGCUAAGAAAAAGCCUUAUAGAAAGAAUGCACUGGAUUUAUGAGUGUGUUUAUGUUUCUCUAUGAAUGGGAGCUUCUGUUAACUUAGGGGUAGAGUUGUUCGGAGUUAACCAGUAGAUUGGAUGACUAACUGAAGAAUCCAGAAUAAUAAAUCCAUUAACCAGACAUGAUUACUUUUUCAUUAGAAUUUGUUGAUUAGGUUGUACUUUUUAAAUGCAAACACCAAGCUUUAAAAAUACUGUUUGUUUACUGUAUUGGUCAGCAAUUUAUUAUAAGCAUUUAAUUUGAAAUAGUUACUGGUUAUCUUUUUAGAAAAUUUUUUUUCUUUUUUACAUAUAUAUGGGCUUUUUUUUUUUUUUUUAAUUUAGAGGUUACCAGAAGCUCUGGUUUUGUUUUGUUAUGUUUUGUUUUUGUUUUUAAAUAAUUUUCAGAUGUUAUCCAGAAAUCUGCAAGUGUACUUUUCCUGUUUUAACUCCUUCCUUUUAUCACCUGACUAUCAGGGAAGCGAGGUUGAGGCUGCCCUGACCUGACAUGUCAUGAUGUCGACUUGCUAGGUGGGGUUCGCUGGGGACGAUAACCAGUGGAAUUGUUGUGUGGAUUGCUUCUGAGCCACUGAUGGAAUGAGUACUCCCGGAAGGAAUGUAUCAUUUGGAAUCCAGAAUCAUUCAUCAAGGAUAACUGCCUGAUCCUAUGAUUUCGUGACUGACGCUGAAAUGGAAGCCAACUGAUGCUGAAAUUUGGGGGAAAAUUACAUCUGAAGAAUGCAAGAGAAAGUAGGAAUUCAUUUCUAGCAUUCCCAAACCUGCCUUGUAUUGUCUACUGUACUAUAGUCAGAGGACAACAACUGAGUUCAUGGAAUUUGCCAGCUAAGCCUUACAACUGUCUUAAAUGUUCUUAGGAAAUACACUGAAAAGGUAAGUGAAUUGUCCAUUUAGAAGAAAGACUAAUAGGUAUUUUUAAGUCAGUUGUUAUAUUUUAAUAAAGACAGGGAGCUCCUUUAUUCCAAACUUCAAAGUCGUGCCCCUACUGGGUGACUUCAGUACUGUGGCAAACGUGGAGUUGUUCAACCAGCCUGGAGCUUUUCCUCUACUCAGCUACUAAGCCAGAACAUGCGUUGAAGUGCAUAGCAUGCUAAUUUCUGUUGUCUUGUUGUGCUCAAAUCCUUUUUUUUAAAAAAUUACUUUGUUUCAGAUGAGAUUUAGUUUUAUCACUCAGUAUAUAGAAAAGAGUGUUUAAUGUUUCAAAGAUUCAGCAUUACAUUUGCAUUAGAUAGAAUCAAGAAUAAAUUAAGGGUUUUAAAUGAUUUCUGUUAAUACCUACUUAUAUUAGUUUUGUGGAUUAUUAAAAAAUAUUAUUACAUUUAUUAUGUUCCUGUGUGAUAGGUAUUGUGCCAGGCCCUGGAAGAGGGACUAGCAUGCACAGUUUAUGUCCUUUGUUCAUACAAUACAGAUAGCAUUCUGGUUUAGAGAAUCAAGAUAUGAUAUAAAAAGGCUAAUUCCAUUUUCUCAUCAAUAAUUUACUCUGAUAACUACUAUGUUAACUUAGCAUAAUAAAUUCUUUAUGAAAGUGUCUUCGCUUGUGUGUUUAACAUUUAUUAAAUACUUUGUGCCAGGUAUUGUGUUAAACUCUUUACAUAUAUUUCUUUACUCAUAUCUCUUCUUUGAGGUAGGUACUAUUACUAAAACUCAUUUUCUAAGAAAAGUAGAGAAGCUAACUAACUUAACUUGUGCUGAGUUUGCUCUACCUAUGAUCUGGGACCAAUAUUUGGACCCAGGUAAGCUAAUUCCAGAAUCUACACUCUUUCUUUGGGUAUGAUGUUGAUAUGCAGUACCUGGCUAUGAGUAUCCAUAAACCAUUCCAAACUCUUAAUAGAAAUUUUCCCUAAAUUCUUCUCUAGCUCCAAGACAGUUUGCAUGCUGACCUUUCCUCUUACCCCAGGCCCCAAGUGUAAAGGACUGGAACAGAAGAGCAGAGCUUGGCAGUUACAUUUUAUAUUUAGGAUCUUGUCUCUCAGAUCCACCCCUUUUAUUUUUGGAAUGUGAGCAUUUUCUUUAGCUGCUAAAUCAUGAGAAAAUACAGCUGCUGAGAUUUUUCCUAGGAUUAAAAAAAAGAUUAGGCAUUGUUGAAGUGAAGAAAAAUUGCUCUGAGAACCACAGGUAGGUAAUUUGCCCCCUGUUGUAUGGAAAGCCCCUGCACCUCUGUCCAUUGUUUUAUACUUCUGUAAAUCUGAUUUUAACUUUAAUAAAGUGGUUUCUGAAGUGAGUGGGUUUUAUUUUGUCUCAUUUCCCAUUAGAUUCUGUAUCUCUUUUCACCUUAUGUAUAUUAUUGC
rnacentral:lncRNA from 1 species